rnacentral:tRNA from 1 species
ACCAAUAUAGUUUAGAAAAUUUAUUAAUUUUGUAAAUUUAUAUUAUAAAUUAUUAUUGUUGGUA